GGUAAUGCCGGAUGCUCCAUCACACCGCAUGGUGUGUUGGGAAAGCCUUUGCGGCAUGGGAUGGGGUCGCGUCCUAUCAGCUUGAUGGCGGGGUAACGGCCCACCAUGGCUUCGACGGGUAGCCGGCCUGAGAGGGCGACCGGCCACAUUGGGACUGAGAUACGGCCCAGACUCCUACGGGAGGCAGCAGUGGGGAAUAUUGCACAAUGGGCGCAAGCCUGAUGCAGCGACGCCGCGUGAGGGAUGGAGGCCUUCGGGUUGUAAACCUCUUUUGUUAGGGAGCAAGGCAUUUUGUGUUGAGUGUACCUUUCGAAUAAGCACCGGCUAACUACGUGCCAGCAGCCGCGGUAAUACGUAGGGUGCAAGCGUUAUCCGGAAUUAUUGGGCGUAAAGGGCUCGUAGGCGGUUCGUCGCGUCCGGUGUGAAAGUCCAUCGCUUAACGGUGGAUCCGCGCCGGGUACGGGCGGGCUUGAGUGCGGUAGGGGAGACUGGAAUUCCCGGUGUAACGGUGGAAUGUGUAGAUAUCGGAAAAAAACACCA
rnacentral:rRNA from 1 species